rnacentral:rRNA from 1 species
CACGUAGGGGGCGAGCGUUGUCCGGAAUCAUUGGGUCGUAAAGAGCUCGUUAGGCGGCUCGGUAAGUCGGGUGAUGAAACCCCCAGGCUCAACCUGGGGACGUCCACCCGAUACUGCUGAUGGCUAGAGUCCAGUAGGGGAGUGUGGAAGUUCCCGGUGUAGCGGUGAAAUGCGCAGAUAUCGGGAGGAACACCAGCGGCGAAGGUCGGCACUCUGGGCUGGAACUGACUGCUGAGGAGCGAAAGCGUGGGUAGCAACAGG